rnacentral:rRNA from 1 species
GGCUCAGGAUGAACGCUGGCGGCGUGCUUAACACAUGCAAGUCGAACGAUGAAGCCCAGCUUGCUGGGUGGAUUAGUGGCGAACGGGUGAGUAACACGUGAGUAACCUGCCCUUAACUCUGGGAUAAGGCCUGGGAAACUGGUCCUAAUACCGGAUAAGGAGCGUCCACCGCAUGGUGGGUGUUGGAAGAUUUAUCGGUUUUGGAUGGACUCGCGGCCUAUCAGCUUGUUGGUGAGGUAAUGGCUCACCAAGGCGACGACGGGUAGCCGGCCUGAGAGGGUGACCGGCCACACUGGGACUGAGACACGGCCCAGACUCCUACGGGAGGCAGCAGUGGGGAAUAUUGCACAAUGGGCGAAAGCCUGAUGCAGCGACGCCGCGUGAGGGAUGACGGCCUUCGGGUUGUAAACCUCUUUCAGUAGGGAAGAAGCGAAAGUGACGGUACCUGCAGAAGAAGCACCGGCUAACUACGUGCCAGCAGCCGCGUAAUACGUAGGGUGCGAGCGUUAUCCGGAAUUAUUGGGCGUAAAGAGCUCGUAGGCGGUUUGUCGCGUCUGUCGUGAAAGUCCGGGGCUUAACCCCGGAUCUGCGGUGGGUACGGGCAGACUAGAGUGCAGUAGGGGAGACUGGAAUUCCUGGUGUAGCGGUGGAAUGCGCAGAUACAGGAGGAACACCGAUGGCGAAGGCAGGUCUCUGGGCUGUAACUGACGCUGAGGAGCGAAAGCAUGGGGAGCGAACAGGAUUAGAUACCCUGGUAGUCCAUGCCGUAAACGUUGGGCACUAGGUGUGGGGACCAUUCCACGGUUUCCGCGCCGCAGCUAACGCAUUAAGUGCCCCGCCCUGGGGAGUACGGCCGCAAGGCUAAAACUCAAAGGAAUUGACGGGGGCCCGCACAAGCGGCGGAGCAUGCGGAUUAAUUCGAUGCAACGCGAAGAACCUUACCAAGGCUUGACAUGUUCCCGAUCGCCGUAGAGAUACGAUUUCCCCUUUGGGGCGGGUUCACAGGUGGUGCAUGGUUGUCGGUCAGCUCGUGUCGUGAGAUGUUGGGUUAAGUCCCGCAACGAGCCGCAACCCUCGUUCCAUGUUGCCAGCACGUAAUGGUGGGGACUCAUGGGAGACUGCCGGGGUCAACUCGGGGAAGGUGAGGACGACGUCAAAUCAUCAUGCCCCUUAUGUCUUGGGCUUCACGCAUGCUACAAUGGGCCGGUACAAUGGGUUGCGAUACUGUGAGGUGGAGCUAAUCCCAAAAAGCCGCGUCUCAGUUCGGAUUGGGGUCUGCAACUCGACCCCAUGAAGUCGGAGUCGCUAGUAUUCGCAAUCAGCAACGCUGCGGUGAAUACGUUCCCGGGCCUUGUACACACCGCCCGUCAAGUCACGAAAGUCGUAAACACCC